UCACAAAACACCGGAAUAAUCU
rnacentral:miRNA from 1 species